rnacentral:pre_miRNA from 10 species
AUGAUGACAGAUGCUUAGGUUACUUCGUUCGACGUGUGUGAAUCUCGUACGUGUCGUCGUUUGCUAUACAUGACUAGAUACACACUCGUCUACGGAGGUAACGAUUAUCCCGACAACUGGC